rnacentral:lncRNA from 1 species
AAAAUUUCUCACUGCGAUGUCAGUUUAACAAAUUGUCAAAUUUUGAUUGGAGCAUUGCUUGUUUAUCGCUGUAAAUGGUGUUUGGGUAGAAAUAUUGGGAUCCAGGCAAACUAUCAGAAUUGUUAAAGACAACACAUGUUGAGAUCAUGAGUAGAAGAUCCAGCUCAUAAACAAAUGAAGCUUUUAAAUUAUAUAUUUCGACACAAUAUAUUCGAUAUCAAUGUAUAGAUAUAUAUGGACUAUCG